CCAAAAUGUAACUGCGCCACAACGAAGAUGCCGCCAUUCCGCUCUCCGGUCUUUGAGACUAAAGAGAAGGCUGAUUUGGAAUUGCGCUUUGGUUGAUCUGUGUUGGUGGCUCCUUGGAGACUUAAACGUGUCCAGCUGUGUGCCAACCUCUACCCUCUACUCUUGACCUGACGGGGCUAUCGGGGUCACACACCACUUUCCUGUCCCAUCUCAACUCAACACUAAUUUUGAGCCAAUCUAUCUCUCUUGUCCCAUCUCCUCAUUUCUAUGUAAAUUAAGGUUUUCUAUCUUCUGUACCCCUUCUGUCCUCUCUAUCUCAUUUUGGGUAAAUGGAGAUAUUUUUGGAGCAUCUUUGAUCUGGGUCGAUGAUUGUUUCUACAAACUAUAUUUUAUGAACUGAAGGUUUCUGCUGAGCUUUGUCAUUGUGAUGUUUGGGUCUGUGAGUCUCUGCUCACACAAUCUCUCCUCUCCUCUGUCCUUAGUUUGAUAUUUUCUACAAAUUGGCAACAACCUGAUUUUCCACAUAUAUAGUUAAAACAUUUGUUGUGGAAAAAUAAUUAAUCUAAAUAAUUGAGUAAACUGCUCUUUUAAAAAAAUCUCUCUGGUCAUUCAAUUAAAGCAGUUUCAUUUUUGUCAUAAUGGAUUGACACAAAUAAUACUUUACUAUAUACUAUAUUCCUGAAUACAUUAUUGUACAGAAUAAAACAUCACAUUUCUCUGUGGGAAAUAUAUAGAAACAAUAAUUAUUAACUGAAGUCAAAACCACAUCUGUACCUAAGAAUCAGUUCAUUGUACAGAGAUCAACUAAAAACAUUCUUCAUCUGCAAAUACAUUAAUAUAAGAAUAGAGUGCUUAUUUUAAGUUAUUUCAUUCUUGAGAUAAAUAUACAUUCAUAUAAAUCAAAACUAAUUAGAUUGAAAAACUUUUCAAGUAUAAGAGCACUGUAUCUAGAUCUCAGUCUGUUCCUGUUGAUUCAUUGUGGACUGCUGCUCAGAGGUUUGUACUCAGGUUUGUGAUGACUGAAAAUAUUUGUCCACAACUACAUUUUUUCUAAUAUUCAGUGUGUACAAGUGUUUUGUUGUUGUUUAACCUGUUGAUACGUCAAUAAACUGAAAGACAU